CGGAGAUCUGCGGGUAUGAUAGAUGCCGCGGUCGGAAACUGUAAAAUGGGGACAGUGUGAUGACAGUACUUCAUAGAGUUUUAUGUGAGGGCGAAGUGAGAUCCUACAUGUCUGGCACAAAGCUGACGUUUGGUCUCAGCCUGAUCCAGUUGAGGGAAGCCACUGGCCUACAGCACAAAGGAAGUGUCCCAACCCAGGCCAGAGGUGUGCUGUCAUGAAAG